ACUCAGUUGCUAGAGUACAAAGCUCUUAACCUUGUGACAUGGGUUCGAGCCCCAU
rfam:Triticum urartu cultivar G1812 contig143993, whole genome shotgun sequence.